rnacentral:rRNA from 1 species
UACGUAGGGACCAAGCGUUGUUCGGAUUUACUGGGCGUAAAGGGCGCGUAGGCGGCGCGGUAAGUCACUUGUGAAAUCUCUGAGCUUAACUCAGAACGGCCAAGUGAUACUGCAGUGCUAGAGUGUGGAAGGGGCAAUCGGAAUUCUUGGUGUAGCGGUGAAAUGCGUAGAUAUCAAGAGGAACACCUGAGGUGAAGACGGGUUGCUGGGCCAACACUGACACUGAGGCGCGAAAGCCAGGGGAGCAAACGGG